rnacentral:rRNA from 1 species
UGCUUGCAUCUGAACUUAGUGGCGGACGGGUGAGUAACACGUGAGCAACCUGCCUUUCAGAGGGGGAUAACGUUUGGAAACGAACGCUAAUACCGCAUAAAAUAUCGGAGUCGCAUGGCACUGAUAUCAAAGGAGCAAUCCGCUGAAAGAUGGGCUCGCGUCCGAUUAGGCAGUUGGCGGGGUAACGGCCCACCAAACCGACAAUCGGUAGCCGGACUGAGAGGUUGAACGGCCACAUUGGGACCGAGACACGGCCCAGACUCCUACGGGAGGCAGCAGUGGGGGAUAUUGCACAAUGGGGGAAACCCUGAUGCAGCGAUGCCGCGUGAAUGAAGACGGCCUUCGGGUUGUAAAGUUCUGUCGCAGGGGACGAAAAUGACGGUACCCUGCAAGAAAGCUCCGGCUAACUACGUGCCAGCAGCCGCGGUAAUACGUAGGGAGCAAGCGUUGUCCGGAAUUACUGGGUGUAAAGGGAGCGUAGGCGGGAGGAUAAGUUGAAUGUGAAAUCUAUGGGCUCAACCCAUAGCUGCGUUCAAAACUGUUCUUCUUGAGUGAAGUAGAGGCAGGCGGAAUUCCUAGUGUAGCGGUGAAAUGCGUAGAUAUUAGGAGGAACACCAGUGGCGAAGGCGGCCUGCUGGGCUUUUACUGACGCUGAGGCUCGAAAGCGUGGGUAGCAAACAGGAUUAGAUACCCUGGUAGUCCACGCGGUAAACGAUGAUUACUAGGUGUGGGUGGACUGACCCCAUCCGUGCCGGAGUUAACACAAUAAGUAAUCCACCUGGGGAGUACGGCCGCAAGGUUGAAACUCAAAGGAAUUGACGGGGGCCCGCACAAGCAGUGGAGUAUGUGGUUUAAUUCGA